CUUCUUGUAUAUUGCUUUGGGGACUCUAGCUGGGGAAAAUGGGGCUGAUUUCCCACCUAGAGAGGUUGAUGGCCGGGGGAAAAUGGGGAGGAACUGGGGUUAUGGAGGGCAUGGGUACGGCUGAGGAGGGUGCUGCAGUGGCAACGUGGUCUUCUGUCUGGGGGAGGGGGAAGGGGCAAAGGUGAGAGAUCACCUUCCCUACCCUCCACCUUCCCGCAGGGAGGACGAAGCCAGGUGCCAGGGCUGGGGUCAGGACACCCAUGUGCUGGGGGGGUUGACCCCAAAUCCCAGACCCUGGAAGCUCCAGGCUUGGGAUGUCUCCUGAGCACCUCUCUCAGCCCCUCCUCUCCAGCCUGUCAGCCCAGCCUCCCCAGUCCCCUCCCCUCAACUCUAGGGGUAGCAUAGCCCUGAGGCCACCUUAGCCCAGCCCCUGCAUUGCCAUUUCCCCAGAGGUGGCCCGUCCACCUCUGCUCUGACCUCUCCCCGUCUCUUUGCCCCUCCUUCUUUUCUCACAAGUGCCAUGAGUUUUCAAACAUCUUCGGGUCUCAGCCUGCUGCUGCCAUGAACUUUGUUGGGUUAAGGGGGAGGGGCUCUAGGAAGGAACUGGGGGGAAGGGGACAGGUAGGUGGCUGGAGGGACCCUUUUUGCUGCUAGAAAGCCCCUCCCUUCUCCUGGGGAGCUGGGGCUGGCUUGUCCCCAUCAAUUAGGGGAGAAGGGGUCAGACCAAAGAUGGUGGUUUGUCCCGUGUAAGGGAACAGGUGUGGGGAAGAGGUGGGGUUGGGUUCCAACUCUGGCUUUUUCUAGUAGAAAGGCCUAACCCAUUAUACCAGAAGACUAUGGGUGAAGUCUAGAUGGGGAGGAGAAGUGAGGCCAGGGACAGUCUUGCCAGACGACUCUGAGGAGGGCAGGGGACAGUUCCAUGGACCUUCCUGGACUGCACUAGGCUAGGAGCUCUUGUGUGGAGGGGCGGUCAGAGGUCUGUGAAGAGCGGGCAGGAGUCAUGGGCAGGCAAAGAGCCGGCCCGGCCCGGGCAGCAGCCCAGCUACAGCUUGUGGCCGCCCCCGACACCAGGAGGAGGGCCGGGAGAGUUCCAGGGGGGCUGAGAGACACAGGGAGGCUCACUUCCUCCCUGCCCAGCCUUCCUUGUAUUUCUCCAGACUCGGACAAUCAAAGGGAGAGAGGGUGUAUCAGUCCUGUUUCAGCCGGCAUCGCCCAGUGGCUUCCAGGCCUCAGAGCUGUGUGGCAGGGCCCCCUGCUGGGGCUGGACACCACUGCAGUCCAGUGCAAAGCUGCCCCCAGAGCCCAGGUGUCCCCCCCACCUAACCAGACCUGGUGCCUUGACGCCCCCACCCCAGCUGGGACGGUACAGAGAAGGGUCUUGGUUUCCUCUCCUACUCCCUUCCUUGGGCUCCUGAAAUUUGCUCCUAAAUCUUGUUAAUUCUUUUUCUCUGGAUUUUGGUUUCUUUUGGCUUUCCCUUGCCUUCCCUUUCUCUCUCUGUCUCCAACUCUCUUUCCCCACGUGUUUCUCGCUGUCUCUAUGUUCCUCUUCUCUCAUCCUCAACUUUCUGUCCAUUCGGGCCUCCUCCCCGCCUCCCACGCCCCAGUCCCUCCCUCCUUGGUCUCCUUUUCGAUAUGCCAAACCAAUUUUGGGUCGAGUGCAUUUAACGAGAACAAAACAAAAGGCUCAUAACAACAAGAACGUUUCAGAAAAAAACAAAAAGUUUAAAAAAAAUUGUUGAGUCAAAAAGUCAAACAAUAAAGAAAUUAAGAUUUCUUGGAAUGACAA